rfam:Macrostomum lignano uti_cns_0045857, whole genome shotgun sequence.
GGGAUUGUAGCCUAGUGGUUAGAGCGUCGGACUUAAAACCUGAAGGUCGGGGGUUCGAUUCCCGAUCACA